GUAUGAAGGUCGUCGCUCUCCUGCUUGUGGUCUGCGCCUCCGUGGCCUGGGCAAAGCCCCUCUGCUUCGGAGGCAUCUGCAUUCCUAACGGCCAGGCCACUGGAGGGGCUGCGGGCACCGUCACCAGUGGCACCAGCAAUACACCUGGUGGCACCAGCAAGGUUACGUCUGUCAGCUCCAGCGCAACGGGAUCCGCCAGCGGGCCGUGUGCAAACAGCCACAACUCCGCACAUGCCUCCAACAAGAACAAACAGGGACUGCUGGGCAAUGCGGAAUCAAGCGACACCGGAGCCGUCUCAAACCAGAGCACCGGCUGCUAAAUGACUCAGUCGCAGUCAUCUCGGCAUGCGUCGCAAUGGCACAUGUGAAACGCUUGUUACGUCGACAGACAUUGUCAUAUCGGGCGUCGGUUGUGACAUGGAAUCGUAAUGUGCAAUACAGGCUUACCCCGCCAUGAUUCAGCUCCAAUGUGUUGGCGCUGACAGUGCCAGGUGAUGUUUCUCCGUGGAAGACGCACCACAGGAUGCACGACAGUUAAUGGCGUGCAAAGACCAAUAAAACGUACGUCACCCAUAUCUUGGGGUAGCAUCUU